rnacentral:rRNA from 1 species
CACGUAGGGGACGAGCGUUGUCCGGAUUCAUUGGGCGUAGAGCGCGCGUAGGCGGCUCGGAAAGUCGGUCGUGAAAUGCCGGGGCUCAACCCCGGGACUGCGUCCGAUACUCCCGAGCUGGAGGCAGGUAGGGGAGAUCGGAAUUCCUGGUGUAGCGGUGAAAUGCGCAGAUAUCAGGAGGAACACCGGUGGCGAAGGCGGAUCUCUGGGCCUUGCCUGACGCUGAGGCGCGAAAGCUAGGGGAGCGAACAGG